rnacentral:rRNA from 1 species
GAUGAACGCUGGCGGCGUGCCUAAUACAUGCAAGUCGAGCGAACAGACGAGGAGCUUGCUUCUCUGACGUUAGCGGCGGACGGGUGAGUAACACGUGGAUAACCUACCUAUAAGACUGGGAUAACUUCGGGAAACCGGAGCUAAUACCGUAUAAUAUUUUGAACCGCAUGGUUCAAUAGUAAAAGACGGUUUUGCUGUCACUUAUAGAUGUAUCCGCGCUGCAUUAGCUAGUUGGUAAGGUAACGGCUUACCAAGGCAACGAUGCGUAGCCGACCUGAGAGGGUGAUCGGCCACACUGGAACGGAGACACGGUCCAGACGACUAAGGGAGGCAGCAGUAGGGAAUCUUCCGCAAUGGGCGAAAGCCUGACGGAGCAACGCCGCGUGAGUGAUGAAGGUCUUCGGAUCGUAAAACUCUGUUAUUAGGGAAGAACAAAUGUGUAAGUAACUGUGCACGUCUUGACGGUACCUAAUCAGAAAGCCACGGCUAACUACGUG